AAAGGUAAAUCUUAUUAGUGUCCCAGCACGCUAACCCUACUGCCCAACUGCUACUGUUGCAUGCUUUCCUGCCUGGCUUGUGCUUCCCAGCACUGAGGCCUGCACCUGCAUCCCAUGGCUUUUCCUCUUCAGUGUUUUUCUUUGGUUGGUUUGGGCUUUUGUUUUUGUUAUUGUUGUUACUGUAGUUUAGUUUAGUUUUCUUUCUUUGUGUUUGUAAAGUUCCCUUUUUAUUGACAGAUCCUAUUCCGGACAGCUUUGCUGUCCUGCCCACAGCACCCUAGGAAGCACCCAGAAGGAAGUAACACUUACGAAUGGCAGCCAUCACACAGAACUGUUUGUCAGAAGGACACUCCGUUGGGACUUCUUUACAAGAAGGAAGAGUGACUGGAGAGACUGACCAGGGCGCCCAGGAGAAUGAGUUACCCAAGCUUGCCCUAGAGGGAGCUGAAAACCCAAAGCACAUCCACAACACACUCCACACCCAAACCUCCAC
rnacentral:lncRNA from 1 species